rnacentral:lncRNA from 1 species
GAAUCAACCUUAGCCAAUAAUAUCUCCACUCCCUUGACAUAAUCAAUAAGGAUCUCCAAGUCAAAACUGCAACUCGUGUUGCAUUUCCUGCCAUUCCCUUGCUUUUGAGAUAUGGACCUUCCUGUAAGACGGAAUGCAAGAGAUCAGAGACUAUAUUAAAGCUCAGGCAGUAAGUAUGGUCUGUUUGACCAUUAAAACUUUUAUGAUUAACACUCUAGGGCUUUCUAAGCCAUUUUUUUUCUACUUGACAAUGAUUUAUGAAAUAUUUCUUACAUUCCUUUGCUUUUGAGAUAUGGACCUUCCUGUAGGACAGAAAACAAGAGAUCAGAGAUUAUAUUGAAGCUCAGGGAGUAAGUAUGGUUUGUUUGACCAUUAAAACUUUUGUGAUUGAGCCCUCUAGGGCUUCCUAAGCCACUUUUUCUCUACUUGACAACGAUUUAAGAAAUAUUUUUUUUUAACUACAAUUAAUUUGCAAAAGAUUGUGACUUGUAGUACUUUUUACGUAGCUUUUUUUAAAUAAAGACUUUCUGUGCAGUUUCUUAAUAUACAAA